GGCUCCGUAGCUUGGAGGAAAGAAGCGCCCGUCUAUGGAAUUCGGAGUUGUGGGUUCGAUUCCCACCGGAGCAC
rfam:Aedes albopictus isolate Foshan contig108661, whole genome shotgun sequence.